rnacentral:rRNA from 1 species
GACGGAGGAUGCAAGUGUUAUCCGGAAUCACUGGGCGUAAAGCGUCUGUAGGUGGUUCGAAAAGUCCACUGUUAAAAAUUGAGGCUUAACUUCAAAGAUGCCGUGGAACUUUCAAACUAGAGUAUGGUAGGGGUAGAGGGAAUUCACAUGGAGGAGGUGGUGAAAUGCGUAGAUAUCGAGAGGAACACCUGCGGCGAAGGCGGGUUGCUGGGCUGACACUGACGCUGAUGCGCGAAAGCUAGGGGAGCGAACGGG